UACGAAGGGAGCUAGCGUUGUUCGGAAUCACUGGGCGUAAAGCGCACGUAGGCGGAUGUGUCAGUCAGGGGUGAAAUCCCGGAGCUCAACUUCGGAACUGCCUUUGAUACAGCACGUCUUGAGUCCGAUAGAGGUGGGUGGAAUUCCUAGUGUAGAGGUGAAAUUCGUAGAUAUUAGGAAGAACACCGGUGGCGAAGGCGGUUCACUGGCCCGGUACUGACGCUGAGGUGCGAAAGCGUGGGGAGCAAACAGG
rnacentral:rRNA from 1 species